AACGAACGCUGGCGGCAGGCUUAACACAUGCAAGUCGAGCGCCCCGCAAGGGGAGCGGCAGACGGGUGAGUAACGCGUGGGAAUCUACCGUGCCCUACGGAAUAGCUCCGGGAAACUGGAAUUAAUACCGUAUACGCCCUUUGGGGGAAAGAUUUAUCGGGGUAUGAUGAGCCCGCGUUGGAUUAGCUAGUUGGUGGGGUAAAGGCCUACCAAGGCGACGAUCCAUAGCUGGUCUGAGAGGAUGAUCAGCCACAUUGGGACUGAGACACGGCCCAAACUCCUACGGGAGGCAGCAGUGGGGAAUAUUGGACAAUGGGCGCAAGCCUGAUCCAGCCAUGCCGCGUGAGUGAUGAAGGCCUUAGGGUUGUAAAGCUCUUUCACCGGAGAAGAUAAUGACGGUAUCCGGAGAAGAAGCCCCGGCUAACCUCGUGCCAGCAGCCGCAGUAA
rnacentral:rRNA from 1 species